rnacentral:rRNA from 1 species
AUUGAACGCUGGCGGCAUGCCUUACACAUGCAAGUCGAACGGUAGCACGGGGCAACCUGGUGGCGAGUGGCGAACGGGUGAGUAAUGCAUCGGAACGUACCUUUCAGUGGGGGAUAACGUAGCGAAAGUUACGCUAAUACCGCAUAUUCUGUGAGCAGGAAAGCAGGGGAUCGCAAGACCUUGGGCUGAUUGAGCGGCCGAUGUCGGAUUAGCUAGUUGGUGAGGUAAAGGCUCACCAAGGCGACGAUCUGUAGCGGGUCUGAGAGGAUGAUCCGCCACACUGGAACUGAGACACGGUCCAGACUCCUACGGGAGGCAGCAGUGGGGAAUUUUGGACAAUGGGGGCAACCCUGAUCCAGCCAUGCCGCGUGAGUGAAGAAGGCCUUCGGGUUGUAAAGCUCUUUCGGCCGGGAAGAAAUCGCACGGGCUAAUACCCUGUGUGGAUGACGGUACCGGAAUAAGAAGCACCGGCUAACUACGUGCCAGCCGCCGCCGUAACAC